rnacentral:rRNA from 1 species
UACGUAGGGUGCGAGCGUUAAUCGGAAUUACUGGGCGUAAAGCGUGCGCAGGCGGUUGAGCAAGACCGAUGUGAAAUCCCCGGGCUUAACCUGGGAAUGGCAUUGGUGACUGCUCGGCUAGAGUGUGUCAGAGGGGGGUAGAAUUCCACGUGUAGCAGUGAAAUGCGUAGAGAUGUGGAGGAAUACCGAUGGCGAAGGCAGCCCCCUGGGAUAACACUGACGCUCAUGCACGAAAGCGUGGGGAGCAAACAGG